AGAGAGUGCAAGCGUUAAUCGGAAUUACUGGGCGUAAAGCGCGCGUAGGUGGAUAGUUUAAGUCGGAUGUGAAAGCCCUGGGGCUCAACCUGGGAAUUGCAUCUGAUACUGAAUGUCUAGAGUAUAGUAGAGGGAAGUGGAAUUUCCGGUGUAGCGGUGAAAUGCGUAGAUAUCGGAAGGAACAUCAGUGGCGAAGGCGGCUUCCUGGACUAAUACUGACACUGAGGUGCGAAAGCGUGGGGAGCAAACAGGAUUAGAGACCCUGGUAGUCCACGCUGUAAACGAUGAGAACUAGAUGUUGGGAGGGUAUACCUCUUAGUAUCGAAGCUAACGCGUUAAGUUCUCCGCCUGGGGAGUACGGCCGCAAGGUUA
rnacentral:rRNA from 1 species